rnacentral:snoRNA from 1 species
CCCCUCUCAGGAUAAUUCCUGGAGAGUUUCCAGUACUCUACCAGUCUCAGCUAUGGGAGGGAGAGUCAAGCAGAGGCCUACCCAUUCCAUUACUAUCUUGGGCAGUGGCUAGCAAGUGAAAGGCAAUCUGCUACAAGU